rnacentral:misc_RNA from 1 species
GCGCGAUCCAGGUCACCUAUGCCGACGUCUGGGAGUUCUGGCUCAAGAACCGCGACGUCUAUGACGCCGUCGAUUUCGUCACGAUUCACAUCCUGCCGUACUGGGAGGACUUCCCGAUUCGCGCGCGUCAUGCGGCGAACCACGUGGACGUAAUCCGCAAGCGGANNNNNNNNAUCGGCGAAACUGGCUGGCCAAGCGCGGGCCGCAUGCGCGAAGGUGCGCUGCCGUCGCGGGCCAAUCAAGCCCGGGUGGUCUCUGAAAUCCUUCAGCUUGCUCGCCAGGAAAAGUUCCGGGUCAACCUGAUCGAGGCCUAUGACCAGCCUUGGAAGCGGAUGUGG